rnacentral:lncRNA from 13 species
CUCGGUUUCUUGCUUUCUAAUUAAUUAGUUUUGCUUUUGUUUUCAACUCUAAUUACUCUAUCUCUUAAUUUCCAUGGGAUAAGUUUGGCAUUCCAAUUAUAGUUUUUUACAUUAAGGAGUUAGUGUUAUUAUUUUUAUCCUUAUCUAUUUACCUAUGAAAGUAUUUAGAUUUAUACGUCUGAUUUUGAGUGUAGAAUUUGCUGUUUCAUUCUAUUCUAUACAUAUUCUGUUGUCUCUUUUGUUAGUUCCCACGUAGACUGUACAGUUGCUGCUUUGAAUUCUUGGUUACCUAGGGAUACCAGGAAGAAUUUUUUAAAAUUACUUUUUGGAGCCAGGCACGGUGGCUCACACCUGUAAUCCCAGCACUCUAAGAGGUCGAGGCGGGUGGAUCAUUUGAGAUCAGGAGUUCAAGACCAGCUUGGCCAACAUGAAUAUCAUGUGCCUUCAGGGAUUUUAUAAUAUUCCAUGGAUAUGGUUGGUGAAGUUUUGAGAGGAGAGAAGGUCUACCAUUUUCAUACAGAACAAUCUGAAUACGGACUACAAUUGACAAAAAGUAUGCUGGGCAAAAAUUUCGUUUCCAGAAUUAUAAAUAUCUAAGUUAAAGGUAAAUGCAUGACAUUGGAAAAAUUUCUUUGUUUCAUUUGUAAAAUGUGGAUUAUAAUAAUAAUAGGGUGUGUGUGUGUGUGUGUAUAGCAUUAAAUAAGAUCAUGCUUGUAAAAUGUCUCAUGUAUUGUUUCACUAAGUUGGCAUUCAGCAAAUAUGAACUAUCAAAAGGUUGCUAAUGAAGAAAAGAAAAAGAUGAUGAUUUGAUCUUAUCUUUCUGGCUCUGACCUGGAAACUAAGCAUGUGCUACAUGAAUCACAUAUACAUAACCCUAUACUGAUAUAAGUAAGUUAACUAUUUUA